rnacentral:rRNA from 1 species
GACUGGGAUAACUCCGGGAAACCGGGGCUAAUACCGGAUGCUUGUUUGAACCGCAUGGUUCAAACAUAAAAGGUGGCUUCGGCUACCACUUACAGAUGGACCCGCGGCGCAUUAGCUAGUUGGUGAGGUAAUGGCUCACCAAGGCGACGAUGCGUAGCCGACCUGAGAGGGUGAUCGGCCACACUGGGACUGAGACACGGCCCAGACUCCUACGGGAGGCAGCAGUAGGGAAUCUUCCGCAAUGGACGAAAGUCUGACGGAGCAACGCCGCGUGAGUGAUGAAGGUUUUCGGAUCGUAAAGCUCUGUUGUUAGGGAAGAACAAGUACCGUUCGAAUAGGGCGGUACCUUGACGGUACCUAACCAGAAAGCCACGGCUAACUACGUGCCAGCAGCCGCGGUAAUACGUAGGUGGCAAGCGUUGUCCGGAAUUAUUGGGCGUAAAGGGCUCGCAGGCGGUUUCUUAAGUCUGAUGUGAAAGCCCCCGGCUCAACCGGGGAGGGUCAUUGGAAACUGGGGAACUUGAGUGCAGAAGAGGAGAGUGGAAUUCCACGUGUAGCGGUGAAAUGCGUAGAGAUGUGGAGGAACACCAGUGGCGAAGGCGACUCUCUGGUCUGUAACUGACGCUGAGGAGCGAAAGCGUGGGGAGCGAACAGGAUUAGAUACCCUGGUAGUCACGCCGUAAACGAUGAGUGCUAAGUGUUAGGGGGUUUCCGCCCCUUAGUGCUGCAGCUAACGCAUUAAGCACUCCGCCUGGGGAGUACGGUCGCAAGACUGAAACUCAAAGGAAUUGACGGGGGCCCGCACAAGCGGUGGAGCAUGUGGUUUAAUUCGAAGCAACGCGAAGAACCUUACCAGGUCUUGACAUCCUCUGACAAUCCUAGAGAUAGGACGUCCCCUUCGGGGGCAGAGUGACAGGUGGUGCAUGGUUGUCGUCAGCUCGUGUCGUGAGAUGUUGGGUUAAGUCCCGCAACGAGCGCAACCCUUGAUCUUAGUUGCCAGCAUUCAGUUGGGCACUCUAAGGUGACUGCCGGUGACAAACCGGAGGAAGGUGGGGAUGACGUCAAAUCAUCAUGCCCCUUAUGACCUGGGCUACACACGUGCUACAAUGGACAGAACAAAGGGCAGCGAAACCGCGAGGUUAAGCCAAUCCCACAAAUCUGUUCUCAGUUCGGAUCGCAGUCUGCAACUCGACUGCGUGAAGCAGGAAUCGCUAGUAAUCGCG